rnacentral:tRNA from 1 species
UCUAAUAUGGCAGAAUAGUGCAUUGGACUUAAGCCCCAAAUAUAAAGCUCUGGCUUUUUUUAGAA